rnacentral:rRNA from 1 species
UACGUAGGGUGCGAGCGUUGCCCGGAUUUAUUGGGCGUAAAGGGCGCGUAGGCGGCUCGGCACGUCCGUUGUGAAAUCGCCCGGCUCAACUGGGCGGGGUCGGCGGAUACGGCCGAGUUGGAGCAAGCUAGGGGGUAAUGGAAUUCCCGGUGUAGUGGUGGAAUGCGUAGAUAUCGGGAGGAACACCAGUGGCGAAGGCGGUUACCUGGAGCUUUGCUGACGCUGAUGCGCGAAAGCGUGGGGAGCGAUCCGG